UGAAAUGAAAACCUGUACCCACACCGAUUGGACACCCCUGAUUCAUGAGUGAUGUAGCUGAGGUCGAUGAACUGUCAGAGACAGCUGAUUUUGAUAUCACUACCUCUGGCAGGGUAUCUCCAGUGAUCCCAGGGGAAUAUUGAAGACCUGCCAUUUUGGAGAUGCUCUCACCCAGCUUCUAAAGAUCACAGUGUGACCCUGCACCAUGAGGUUGCGUCGACUCCAGUUGUGUCCCACCUCAAGAUUAUGGACCGUCAAAGAAGUAGAUGCCGGCUCCACAAACAUCCCGAACCAUCAAAAGAUGUACCAGCGCCAUUUGGAUCCCACUUUAUGUAGAGUUUGGUCAUUGGAACUCUGAACAUUUAAAGGCUCUGGCAUGGAGGAGUUGGUGUUGGAUCUAUAAUGAUCUCAGAUGUUGAGCUAUGCUCAGUAGCUUCUGGUUCCACAACGUCAACUGACUGUAGAAGACUGUACAACUUUGUGGUAUCGGUUUGGGGAGGAACCAUAUAUGGCUGAAAAAGUUACAAUAUUUCAGUCCAUAUAGUGGGUUUACCUGUUGGUUGAAAUAAAGAUGGACCUACAGUUAGAGCUGUUAUUAAAGAAAAUCAACCAAUACCAUCUUACAAAUUAGAAUCCACAUUUUAAUUGCCAUACUCUUCCCUACUGUUAUAUCAAAUAAACACUUAAAAAGUACAUUUUAG